UACGGAGGGUGCAAGCGUUAUCCGGAUUCACUGGGUUUAAAGGGUGCGUAGGUGGGUAAGUAAGUCGGUGGUGAAAUCUCCGGGCUUAACCCGGAAACUGCCAUUGAUACUAUUUGUCUUGAAUACUGUGGAGGUCAGCGGAAUAUGUCAUGUAGCGGUGAAAUGCUUAGAUAUGACAUAGAACACCAAUUGCGAAGGCAGCUGGCUACACAAAUAUUGACACUGAGGCACGAAAGCGUGGGGAUCAAACAGG
rnacentral:rRNA from 1 species